rnacentral:rRNA from 1 species
AUAUGUUAAGUGGAAAAGGAUGUGGCGUUGCCCAGACAACUAGGAUGUUGGCUUAGAAGCAGCCAUCAUUUAAAGAGUGCGUAAUAGCUCACUAGUCGAGUGACACUGCGCCGAAAAUGUACCGGGGCUAAACAUAUUACCGAAGCUGUGGAUUGUCCUUUGGACAAUGGUAGGAGAGCGUUCUAAGGGCGUUGAAGCAUGAUCGUAAGGACAUGUGGAGCGCUUAGAAGUGAGAAUGCCGGUGUGAGUAGCGAAAGACGGGUGAGAAUCCCGUCCACCGAUUGACUAAGGUUUCCAGAGGAAGGCUCGUCCGCUCUGGGUUAGUCGGGUCCUAAGCUGAGGCCGACAGGCGUAGGCGAUGGAUAACAGGUUGAUAUUCCUGUACCACCUAUAAUCGUUUUAAUCGAUGGGGGGACGCAGUAGGAUAGGCGAAGCGUGCGAUUGGAUUGCACGUCUAAGCAGUAAGGCUGAGUAUUAGGCAAAUCCGGUACUCGUUAAGGCUGAGCUGUGAUGGGGAGAAGACAUUGUGUCUUCGAGUCGUUGAUUUCACACUGCCGAGAAAAGCCUCUAGAUAGAAAAUAGGUGCCCGUACCGCAAACCGACACAGGUAGUCAAGAUGAGAAUUCUAAGGUGAGCGAGCGAACUCUCGUUAAGGAACUCGGCAAAAUGACCCCGUAACUUCGGGAGAAGGGGUGCUCUUUAGGGUUAACGCCCAGAAGAGCCGCAGUGAAUAGGCCCAAGCGACUGUUUAUCAAAAACACAGGUCUCUGCUAAACCGUAAGGUGAUGUAUAGGGGCUGACGCCUGCCCGGUGCUGGAAGGUUAAGAGGAGUGGUUAGCUUCUGCGAAGCUACGAAUCGAAGCCCCAGUAAACGGCGGCCGUAACUAUAACGGUCCUAAGGUAGCGAAAUUCCUUGUCGGGUAAGUUCCGACCCGCACGAAAGGCGUAACGAUUUGGGCACUGUCUCAACGAGAGACUCGGUGAAAUCAUAGUACCUGUGAAGAUGCAGGUUACCCGCGACAGGACGGAAAGACCCCGUGGAGCUUUACUGUAGCCUGAUAUUGAAAUUCGGCACAGCUUGUACAGGAUAGGUAGGAGCCUUUGAAACGUGAGCGCUAGCUUACGUGGAGGCGCUGGUGGGAUACUACCCUAGCUGUGUU